CUCUGGGUGUUUGGACUGGGAUGGCUUACGUCAGAGUAUCUAAGCCUCUGUAAGUGGAGAUCAUCAAUUUUCACAGAGAUAUGAGUCACAUUUUUUCUUUCCUGGCAAAGCUUCUUGCAGAGGUAGGAGUUAAACAACACAAAAAAUGAAAUGGGCCAAAUGAAUAGCAAAUAUAUUCAAUGCAAUACAUACACACAAUCACCGUUUUUUUUUUCCAGGUGGUGGUUUUCUCUGCUCCAGAAAUCAAGCAUCCAAUACGACAACAAGCGAAUGUUGUAGUCAUCUACCAGAUUAAAGUCUGCAGUCUCCAUUUUGGCAAAGAUGAGUGAUGUAGUGCAUCCACAGAGAAACAAAUUUGCUGCCUUUGAAUGCAAGGUAAUGCAUACUAGUUACUAGAUGAGAUUUAUCUGUAUGCUCGAGAACAAAAAAGUACUGUAAAAUUAGGUAGUCAUUUCCCAAAUAACAGGCCACAAAGAUAUAAAGAUUAAAAUCUGAAAUGCAAAUGCAUUAUAGCAAAUUCAGUCAAAACAUGUUUGAACCUGCUGUAGCUAAGCCUUAUUUAAUUCCUUCAGGCUGCUCUAAUAGUAUUUCAUAAACAUGUUUGAACCUGCUGUAGCUAAGCCUUAUUUAAUUCCUUCAGGCUGCUCUAAUUAAUAGUAUUUCAUAAGCACCUAUUCCAGAAUCCCUAACACUUGCACAUUUCUCUGUGUGGUAUUCACUUAAGGAAUCUAUGAUAUAUAAUAUAAUCUUUGAUAAUCAACUGAUGCCUCGCCUGAGUUAAUGUCUUUAUCAGUAUGAUUUAAAUAAACCUGACAUUUCAAUGACAAGUUUAGUAUAGUAUUUGGCUGCUUUAUUAAUAAAUAUUUGUCAAAUGAUGUGUAUAUGUAAAUACAAGUGGAAUGAAAAGUACAUCUCUCCUACAUGCUUUCUGUAAUACAAGAGAUGGACACUGGCCAUUAUUGUGAACACAAGGAAUAUUAUUUCACUCCAGAUGAGAAUUUUAUCUGUAGAAUUAUGAGCUGUGUUAUGCAAAGCUCUCAAUGAAACAUACAAACAGUAUGCCUAUUGAGUAUUGAUUUUUAAUUAGAUAAAUAUUAAGAGAUAGUUGGGUAAUUGAAUAAGAAAACUGAAAAUACCAUGCAUAGUGCUUCACACUGCAAGUAUUCUUUGGAUGCAGCUAGAAUGAGUGAAGAAGGGAAUAAGUCUUAAGAUGUUUUGAAGGAGGAAUUUAUGUUUUUCAUAAAUCAGAUUAGGAAAUACAAGCUUUUAGUUUUGAAGAAAAGUUGGUUCAAUUUACUUAAAAUCAGGAAAGUAGUCCCUGUAUGAGAAAGGAACAUUUUCCUCAUGGGAAAAGCCAAUAGGAUUAAUCAUUGGGGAAAGUUAGGAAUCAGACUCUCAAUUUUAAUUACUUAUAAAAUCAAUUUAUUUAGAGAAUGUUACUAAGGUGCUUUCGAAUUGCUUAAGCAGAUCGAAAGUAAUAUCAGUAAAAGUGGCUUUGUGGGUCAUUUCCGAAGAAUGGGUUUGAGAACAAUGAUGAUAAGAUGGAAAUUCAUCAGGCAGAAGGGCACGUGAAAUAUAGGUAAGAUAGGAAAAUUGUUCUGGGAAAAUCCUUCGGCUCUUAAUCUCACUGGGUUUCAAUUCACGGAAGUUGAUAGAAGCUUCACCCCUUACAGAGUAGCUCAGUGGGUUUCUUUCGCACAAGUGGAGGCCCCCAGAGACUUUCAAUUCAAGGCAUGUAGAGGAGAGAUUUGUUAUGCAAGAUGUUGUAAUUCAUACAUGGUCUUUAAGUUACAUAACUUUUAGCUUCCAGAAUUUUUCUAA
rnacentral:lncRNA from 1 species